rnacentral:lncRNA from 1 species
AAGCAAUGACAACAGCAGCAACAAAGACUUUGACGACACCAAAAGCGGCAGCAGCAACAUCCCUGACGCUGGUGCAAAAAAUGUUAAGUGUGAAGUGUGUGCUAAAACAUUUAGAAACGAGAGUGCCUUAAGAGAUCAUAUGGCGGAGGAACAUGGAGACAAGAAGUGUUUUAAGUGUAACCUUAACUUUGACACAAAUCAACAAAGGCAGGAUCACAUGGACAGGGGGAUUUGUAGCAAAAACUAAAAAGUUUCCAUCUUUAUAUAUUCAUGCUUAGAAUAAGGAUUUUUUUCCAUUAGUACGUAGUUGUCUUUUUAUGUUUGAAUAAUUAAUUGUCCUUUCUUGUUAUAGGACAAUUUUCUUAUCUUGUUAUAGGAGUUUUAUUGUGUGCUUUAUGUUUUACGGUUUUAUUGUAAAAG